GGUUAAGUUAGAAAGGGCGCACGGUGGAUGCCUUGGCACUAGGAGCCGAAGAAGGACGGGACUAACACCGAUAUGCUUUGGGGAGCUGUACGUAAGCGUUGAUCCAGAGAUUUCCGAAUGGGGGAACCCACUAUCUUUAGUCGGAUAGUAUCCUUACGUGAAUACAUAGCGUGAGGAAGGCAGACCCAGGGACCUGAAACAGCUAAGUACCUGGAGGAAGAGAAAGAAAAAUCGAUUUCCUGAGUAGCGGCGAGCGAAACGGAAAGAGCCCAAACCAAGAAGCUUGCUUCUUGGGGUUGUAGGACACUCUAUACGGAGUUACAAAAGAAAGUUAUAAAUGAAGCGGUCUGGAAAGGCCCGCCAAAGACGGUAACAGCCCGGUAGUUGAAAUAGCUUUCCCUCCAGAGUGGAUCCUGAGUACGGCGGAACACGUGAAAUUCCGUCGGAAUCCGGGAGGACCAUCUCCCAAGGCUAAAUACUCCCUAGUGACCGAUAGUGAACCAGUACCGUGAGGGAAAGGUGAAAAGCACCCCGGAAGGGGAGUGAAACAGUUCCUGAAACCGUGUGCCUACAAGUAGUUAGAGCCCGUUAAUGGGUGAUAGCGUGCCUUUUGUAGAAUGAACCGGCGAGUUACGAUUUGUUGCAAGGUUAAGCGGAAAAAGCGGAGCCGUAGCGAAAGCGAGUCUGAAUAGGGCGCAUAAGUAACAGGUCGUAGACCCGAAACCAGGUGAUCUACCCAUGUCCAGGAUGAAGGUAAGGUAAUACUUACUGGAGGUCCGAACCCACGCACGUUGAAAAGUGCGGGGAUGAGGUGUGGGUAGCGGAGAAAUUCCAAUCGAACUUGGAGAUAGCUGGUUCUCUCCGAAAUAGCUUUAGGGCUAGCCUCGAGGUAAAGAGUCAUGGAGGUAGAGCACUGUUUGGACUAGGGGCCCUUCUCGGGUUACCGAAUUCAGAUAAACUCCGAAUGCCAUGUACUUAUACUCGGGAGUCAGACUGCGAGUGAUAAGAUCCGUAGUCGAAAGGGAAACAGCCCAGACCACCAGUUAAGGUCCCCAAAUAUAUGUUAAGUGGAAAAGGAUGUGGGGUUGCUUAGACAACCAGGAUGUUGGCUUAGAAGCAGCCACCAUUGAAAGAGUGCGUAAUAGCUCACUGGUCGAGUGACCCCGCGCCGAAAAUGUACCGGGGCUAAACAUAUUACCGAAACUGUGGAUGAACCUCUUUAGAGGUUCGUGGUAGGAGAGCGUUCUAAGGGCGGUGAAGUCAGACCGGAAGGACUGGUGGAGCGCUUAGAAGUGAGAAUGCCGGUAUGAGUAGCGAAAGAAGGGUGAGAAUCCCUUCCACCGAAUAUCUAAGGUUUCCUGAGGAAGGCUCGUCCGCUCAGGGUUAGUCGGGACCUAAGCCGAGGCCGAUAGGCGUAGGCGAUGGACAACAGGUAGAGAUUCCUGUACCAGUGCUAAUUGUUUAACCGAUGGGGUGACACAGAAGGAUAGGGAAUCGCACGAAUGGAAAUGUGCGUCCAAGCAGUGAGUGUGAGAAGUAGGCAAAUCCGCUUCUCGCGAAGCAUGAGCUGUGAUGGGGAAGGAAAUUAAGUACGGAAGUUCCUGAUUUCACGCUGUCAAGAAAAGCCUCUAGGAAGAGUAGUACUGCCCGUACCGCAAACCGACACAGGUAGAUGAGGAGAGAAUCCUAAGGUGAGCGAGAGAACUCUCGUUAAGGAACUCGGCAAAAUGACCCCGUAACUUCGGGAGAAGGGGUGCUCUAUUAGGGUGCAAGCCCGAGAGAGCCGCAGUGAAUAGGCCCAGGCGACUGUUUAGCAAAAACACAGGUCUCUGCAAAACCGUAAGGUGACGUAUAGGGGCUGACGCCUGCCCGGUGCUGGAAGGUUAAGAGGAGUGCUUAGCUUCGGCGAAGGUACGAAUUGAAGCCCCAGUAAACGGCGGCCGUAACUAUAACGGUCCUAAGGUAGCGAAAUUCCUUGUCGGGUAAGUUCCGACCCGCACGAAAGGCGCAACGAUCUGGGCACUGUCUCAACGAGAGACUCGGUGAAAUUAUAGUACCUGUGAAGAUGCAGGUUACCCGCGACAGGACGGAAAGACCCCGUGGAGCUUUACUGCAACCUGAUAUGGAAUGUUUGUACCGCUUGUACAGGAUAGGUAGGAGCCGAAGAGACGUGUGCGCUAGCAUACGAGGAGGCA
rnacentral:rRNA from 1 species